rnacentral:rRNA from 2 species
GGCGAAAGACUGGUUGAUUGGAUCUAGAUUGGCUGGGCUACAGCUUGUUGGUGAGGGAAUGGCUCACCAAGGCGACGACCCCUUUACGGCCUGAGAGGGUGACCGGCCACACUGGGACUGAGACACGGCCCAGACUCCUACGGGAGGCAGCAGUGGGGAAUAUUGCACAAUGGGCGAAAGCCUGAUGCAGCGACGCCGCGUGAGGGAUGACGGCCUUCGGGUUGUAAACCUCUUUCAGUAGGGAAGAAGCGAAAGUGACGGUACCUGCAGAAGAAGCGCCGGCUAACUACGUGCCAGCAGCCGCGGUAAUACGUAGGGCGCAAGCGUUAUCCGGAAUUAUUGGGCGUAAAGAGCUCGUAGGCGGUUUGUCGCGUCUGCCGUGAAAGUCCGGGGCUCAACUCCGGAUCUGCGGUGGGUACGGGCAGACUAGAGUGAUGUAGGGGAGACUGGAAUUCCUGGUGUAGCGGUGAAAUGCGCAGAUAUCAGGAGGAACACCGAUGGCGAAGGCAGGUCUCUGGGCAUUAACUGACGCUGAGGAGCGAAAGCAUGGGGAGCGAACAGGAUUAGAUACCCUGGUAGUCCAUGCCGUAAACGUUGGGCACUAGGUGUGGGGGACAUUCCACGUUUUCCGCGCCGUAGCUAACGCAUUAAGUGCCCCGCCUGGGGAGUAGGCGCUUUCGCUUCUCGUCCAUGACCCCUGCCUCGGUCAUCCGCUCCGCGAGCGGUCCGCUCACCAAAG